AGGCUGUGUGACAUCAUGGAUAUCAUUUGAAGUAGAUCGAAAAUGCAUGACAACAUCACUGAUGAUGAAAUGUUAUUGUAGACUUACUGUAGGCUACACGUGGACUUUGCAUCGAAAAUAUGUUUGCUGACGUUGUAAUAACAUGAUAAGAGAGAGCCUUGAUUAUGAAAUACUGUGUAGCCUGCUGACUUUCGACACAGUGAUGAGUGAGAGUAGCCUAAAUCGAAACGAAACCCCAGUGCUUCACCGCGGGAUUAAGAAGAAAUACGUCAUAUUGUUUCAUUGUUGUCUGAAUAUUAUAUCAAGGUGACAGACUACUACCCUAUUAUUGAACUGGAAAUGCCUUUGGUUAAUAAAAGAGGGCUGGAAUGUGUUUCUUUGGAAUCAUUUAUAAGGCCCACUGAAAUGUCCCAGAACCCUUUCAGGUCAUACAAAACCAUUUUUGGUUACAAAUUUAGUUUUAUUUGGAAAGACAGUUUCUAGCUAACUGCAAUUUCUCUCCACUGAUUCAAAGACAGGGUAUCUGCAACUUUGCCCUUUACAACUUUAGAACUUUGACCUUCUCUUCCUCCUGAUUUCUGCCAGCUCACUUUGGACUCAAACACAGUAUUCAAAAACCUCUCAGUGAGGGCUGAACAAAGUGACUGCUGAACAGCAAGAACAGCUAAUCAACCAGAGAGAUUUGUUUUGGCCCGGCGGGUGCUGUGUGAGAGACUCUGUCUGGACAUUACUGGGAGGUUGAGUGGAGUGGGAAAGGUGUUCUUCCAUCAGUCUCAAGACAUCAGCAGGUCAAGUAAAGACUCUGGAUUGGGAAACAAUGACAAGUCCUCGAGUUUAGAGUGCAGUAAGCAGAGUUACUGGUUCAGACACAGCAAUAUAAAGACUGCAGUGUCUGGCCAUUAGUCCUCCAGAAUAGGGGUGUAUCUGGACCACAAUGCAGGAACUCUGUCCUACAUUUACAUUUUCAUUUGAGUCAUUUAGCAGAUGCUCUUAUCCAGAGCGACUUACAGUUAGUGCAUUCAUCAGUCCAAUCAAAGCUACGGUAGACAUAACAUGAUUUGACAUCAUUUUACCUGUGGCCAAUGACCUUGUGCCUUCUUGGAUGGGGACUUCUAAUGUAAAUCUAUGUCAACACCCAAGGGGGCUUAAACUGCCUAACUCUCCCUGAAGAUUCUGUGGUGACGUAGUGUCCCCAUGAGUGACGGAACACUGAGCCAAUCACGGCGCAACUAAAGAAGAUUACCAACACCUACACUCUGUGUAUUCCGCAGCUGCCCCUCCACCACAGAAAGCACUGAGUUAGACAAACAUUUUGGAGCUGCCUUAAUCGAGAAAUGUUUAGGUACGUGUAAUCGGGCUGUGUGUUAUCGUUUUAACUUCCAGUUUCCAAGAUUAUGUUUCUGUAUGCAGUGCUGCUACUCUGCACAUUUGUAGGUACACUAUCCUUCUGACCCCAAUGCAGCCAGGUCCCAUCUACUUUUUAACUCCUCGCAAGUGUGGCUUGUUUGGUGUCUGCUGUAAAGGAAUAUCACAACAAGUCAACUACUUCAUUGAUGAAGGC